GAUGAACGCUAGCUACAGGCUUAACACAUGCAAGUCGAGGGACCGGCGCACGGGUGAGUAACACGUAUCCAACCUGCCCUUUACUCGGAGAUAGCCUUUCGAAAGAAAGAUUAAUACCCGAUGUAAAGGAUGGGGAUGCGUUCAAUUAGGUUGUUGGUGAGGUAACGGAUCACCAAGCCUUCGAUGGAUAGGGGUUCUGAGAGGAAGGUCCCCCACAUUGGAGCUGAGACACGGUCCAAACUCCUACGCGUGGCAGCAGUGAGGAAUAUUGUUCAAUGGGCGUUAGCCGGAACCAGCCAAGUAGCGUGAAGGAUGAAGGCUUAUGGGUCGUAAACUUCUUUUAUAUAAGAAUAUGUAUUAUAUGAAUAAGGAUCGGCUAACUCCGUGCCAGCAGCCGCGGUAAUAC
rnacentral:rRNA from 1 species